rnacentral:lncRNA from 10 species
CAUGGAAGGGAAGGCAAAGGAGAGGGAACCCUCAUCACGCGGGCAGAGUCUCGCUCCGUCACCCAGGCUGGAGUGCAGUGGCAAGAUCUCGGCUAACUGUGACCUCCGCCUCCCAGGUUCAAGUGAUUCUCCUGCCUCAACCUCCGGAGCAGCUGGGAUUACAGACAUUUGCCACCACACCUGGCUAAUUUUUGUAGUUUUAGUAGAGAUGGGGUUUCACCAUGUUGAC